AAAGAGUCAUACGUUGAAGGCCUAGCCAGCCACGGCGGCCCCGAGUCAUGCGUGUGUAUCCGUGAGGAUGCAGGCGAAGCGUUGACAGGGGGUACGCGCAGGCCGGGUAUUGAGCCGCGAAAUAUUUGCCCCGUGCAGCAAUGCACGGGCCGACCGGGGUGUCGAGGCUGUGGACACAAGCCGAAGGCCACACCGGCGCUGCCGCAUUGGCGAGGCAGCGCUGGACCCCGCGCGGUCUGAGACCC
rnacentral:ncRNA from 1 species